rnacentral:rRNA from 1 species
GUUGUAUGGUUAAGUGACUAAGCGUACAUGGUGGAUGCCUUGGCAGUCAGAGGCGAUGAAGGACGUACUAACCUGCGAUAAGCCGUGAGCAGUCGGUAAGAGACAUUACGACUCACGGAUUUCCGAAUGGGGAAACCCACUUAGCAUAAGCUAGGUAUCGCUGCGUGAAUACAUAGCGUAGCGAGGCGAACCGGGAGAACUGAAACAUCUAAGUACCCCGAGGAAAAGAAAUCAACCGAGAUUCCCUCAGUAGCGGCGAGCGAACGGGGAUUAGCCCUUAAGCAUCUUGGAAGUUAGUGGAACGGUCCUGGAAAGGCCGGCGAUACAGGGUGAUAGCCCCGUACACGAAAACAACCUUGAUGUGAAAUCGAGUAGGGCGGGACACGUGACAUCCUGUCUGAAUAUGGGGGACCAUCCUCCAAGGCUAAAUACUCCUGACUGACCGAUAGUGAACCAGUACCGUGAGGGAAAGGCGAAAAGAACCCCUGUGAGGGGAGUGAAAUAGAACCUGAAACCGUGUACGUACAAGCAGUGGGAGCCCUUCGGGGUGACUGCGUACCUUUUGUAUAAUGGGUCAGCGACUUACAUUUUGUAGCGAGGUUAACCGUAUAGGGGAGCCGUAGGGAAACCGAGUCUUAACUGGGCGUCUAGUUGCAAGGUGUAGACCCGAAACCGGGUGAUCUAGCCAUGGGCAGGUUGAAGGUUGAGUAACAUCAACUGGAGGACCGAACCCACUAACGUUGCAAAGUUAGGGGAUGACCUGUGGCUGGGGGUGAAAGGCCAAUCAAACUCGGAGAUAGCUGGUUCUCCCCGAAAGCUAUUUAGGUAGCGCCUCGGACGAAUACUACUGGGGGUAGAGCACUGUUUGGGCUAGGGGGUCAUCCCGACUUACCAACCCCAUGCAAACUCCGAAUACCAGUAAGUAAUAUCCGGGAGACACACGGCGGGUGCUAACGUCCGUCGUGAAGAGGGAAACAACCCAGACCGCCGGCUAAGGUCCCAAAGUUCUGGUUAAGUGGGAAACGAUGUGGGAAGGCUCAGACAGCUAGGAUGUUGGCUUAGAAGCAGCCAUCAUUUAAAGAAAGCGUAAUAGCUCACUAGUCGAGUCGGCCUGCGCGGAAGAUGUAACGGGGCUCAAACCAGGCACCGAAGCCGCGGAUUCACGCUAAGCGUGAGUGGUAGGGGAGCGUUCUGUAAGUCUGCGAAGGUGUGUCGAGAGGCAUGCUGGAGAUAUCAGAAGUGCGAAUGCUGACGUAAGUAACGAUAAAGGGGGUGAAAAGCCUCCUCGCCGGAAGACCAAGGGUUCCUGUCCAACGUUAAUCGGGGCAGGGUGAGUCGACCCCUAAGGCGAGGCCGAAAGGCGUAGUCGAUGGGAAGCAGGUUAAUAUUCCUGCACGACUUGUAAUUGCGAUGGGGGACGGAGAAGGCUAGGUGGGCCAGGCGACGGUUGUCCUGGUGAAAGUGCGUAGGUGGUGUUUCUAGGCAAAUCCGGAGACACAACACUGAGACACGAGACGAACACACUACGGUGUGGAAGCCAUUGAUGCCCUGCUUCCAGGAAAAGCCUCUAAGCUUCAGAUUACAAGUCAUCGUACCCCAAACCGACACAGGUGGUCGGGUAGAGAAUACCAAGGCGCUUGAGAGAACUCGGGUGAAGGAACUAGGCAAAAUAGAACCGUAACUUCGGGAGAAGGUUCGCUCUUGACAGUGAAGUCCCUUGCGGAUGGAGCAGUUGGGAGUCGCAGUGACCAGAUGGCUGGGACUGUUUAUCAAAAACACAGCACUCUGCAAACACGAAAGUGGACGUAUAGGGUGUGACACCUGCCCGGUGCCGGAAGGUUAAUUGAUGGGGUUAGCGCAAGCGAAGCUCUUGAUCGAAGCCCCGGUAAACGGCGGCCGUAACUAUAACGGUCCUAAGGUAGCGAAAUUCCUUGUCGGGUAAGUUCCGACCUGCACGAAUGGUGUAACCAUGGCCAUGCUGUCUCCACCCGAGACUCAGUGAAAUCGAAUUCGCCGUGAAGAUGCGGUGUACCCGCGGCUAGACGGAAAGACCCCGUGAACCUUUACUACAGCUUGGCACUGAACAUUGAACCUACAUGUGUAGGAUAGGUGGGAGGCUUUGAAGGCGUGACGCCAGUUGCGCUGGAGCCGUCCUUGAAAUACCACCCUUGUAUGUUUGAUGUUCUAACGCAGGCCCAUGAAUCUGGGUCGCGGACAGUGCCUGGUGGGUAGUUUGACUGGGGCGGUCUCCUCCCAAAGAGUAACGGAGGAGCACGAAGGUUGGCUAAUCCUGGUCGGACAUCAGGAGGUUAGUGCAAUGGCAUAAGCCAGCUUAACUGCGAGACGGACAGGUCGAGCAGGUACGAAAGUAGGUCAUAGUGAUCCGGUGGUUCUGAAUGGAAGGGCCAUCGCUCAACGGAUAAAAGGUACUCCGGGGAUAACAGGCUGAUACCGCCCAAGAGUUCAUAUCGACGGCGGUGUUUGGCACCUCGAUGUCGGCUCAUCACAUCCUGGGGCUGAAGUCGGUCCCAAGGGUAUGGCUGUUCGCCAUUUAAAGUGGUACGCGAGCUGGGUUCAGAACGUCGUGAGACAGUUCGGUCCCUAUCUGCCGUGGGCGUUGGAUGAUUGAAGGGAGUUGCUCCUAGUACGAGAGGACCGGAGUGAACGAACCUCUGGUGUUCGGGUUGUCACGCCAGUGGCACUGCCCGGUAGCUAAGUUCGGAAUCGAUAACCGCUGAAAGCAUCUAAGCGGGAAGCGAGCCCUGAGAUGAGUCAUCCCUGACCCCUUGAGGGUCCUAAAGGGCCGUUGGAGACCACAACGUUGAUAGGUGGGGUGUGUAAGCGCGGCGACGUGUUGAGCUAACCCAUACUAAUUACCCGUGAGGCUUAACCAUACAACACCCAAGAAGUGUUCU